UACGUAGGUGGCAAGCGUUGUCCGGAAUUAUUGGGCGUAAAGCGCGUGCAGGUGGUUUCUUAAGUCUGAUGUGAAAGCCCACGGCUCAACCGUGGAGGGUCAUUGGAAACUGGGGAACUUGAGUGCAGAAGAGGAAAGUGGAAUUCCACGUGUAGCGGUGAAAUGCGUAGAGAUGUGGAGGAACACCAGUGGCGAAGGCGACUUUCUGGUCUGUAACUGACACUGAGGCGCGAAAGCGUGGGGAGCGAACAGG
rnacentral:rRNA from 1 species